rnacentral:rRNA from 1 species
CUACGUGCCAGCAGCCGCGGUAAUACGGAAGGUCCAGGCGUUAUCCGGAUUUAUUGGGUUUAAAGGGAGUGUAGGCGGUCUGUUAAGCGUGUUGUGAAAUUUAGGUGCUCAACAUCUACCUUGCAGCGCGAACUGGCGGACUUGAGUGCACGCAACGUAUGCGGAAUUCAUGGUGUAGCGGUGAAAUGCUUAGAUAUCAUGAAGAACUCCGAUUGCGAAGGCAGCAUACGGGAGUGUAACUGACGCUUAAGCUCGAAGGUGCGGGUAUCGAACAGGAUUAGAUACCCUGGUAGUCCGCACAGUAAACGAUGGAUGCCCGCUGUUAGCGCCUGGCGUUAGCGGCUAAGCGAAAGCAUUAAGCAUCCCACCUGGGGAGUACGCCGGCAACGGUGAAACUCAAAGGAAUUGACGGGGGCCCGCACAAGCGGAGGAACAUGUGGUUUAAUUCGAUGAUACGCGAGGAACCUUACCCGGGAU